UUCAGCUUACACCUGAAAGAUGUCUGCUAAACCAGAUCGUCUUGAUGCCAAACUCUAGCCCAAAAUACAUGACACGGAAUAACAAAGCCACUACCCACAAACCCAACUAAAGCAUUUAAUAGUCCCAGUAUAGGCGAUAGAAAAGACACCAUUGGCGCGAUAGAGACUACGUACCGUAAGGGAAAGAUGAAAUAGCAAUGAAAACUAAGCUAUAAACAGCAAAGAUCAACCCUUGUACCUUUUGCAUCAUGGUCUAGCAAGAAAAACCAAGCAAAAUGAAUUUAAGUUUGCCACCCCGAAACCCAAGCGAGCUACUUACGAGCAGCUAUUAUUGAGCGAACCCGUCUCUGUGGCAAAAGAGUGGGAUGACUUGUUAGUAGAGGUGAAAAGCCAACCGAGCUGGGUGAUAGCUGGUUGCCUGUGAAACGAAUCUAAGUUCACUCUUAAUUCUUCUCCAAGGAAACCCCUCAAACCCUAAUGAAGCGAAUUAAGGGCUAUUUAAAGGAGGUACAGCUCCUUUAAAAAAGAAUACAAUCUCCACGAGCGGAUAAGUAUCAAAUUCCUUAACUGUACUGUGGGCCCUCAAGCAGCCAUCAACAAAGAGUGCGUUAAAGCUCCGCAUCCAAAAAUACAAAAACCUUAUGACUCCCUCCCCAUUAACAGGCCAACCUAUAUUUAAAUAGGAGAAUUAAUGCUAGAAUGAGUAACCAGGGUUA
rnacentral:rRNA from 1 species